rfam:Schistosoma curassoni strain Dakar, Senegal genome assembly, scaffold: SCTD_scaffold0010035
AUCCGGCUGACGACUUUCAAAGAGGACGAAACACGCGUCCUGGAU